CGGAGGGUGCAAGCGUUAUCCGGAUUCACUGGGUUUAAAGGGUGCGUAGGCGGGCUUGUAAGUCAGUGGUGAAAGCCCGGAGCUCAACUCCGGAACUGCCAUUGAUACUGCAAGUCUUGAGUACACUUGAGGUGGGCGGAAUACAUCAUGUAGUGGUGAAAUACUUAGAUAUGAUGUAGAACACCGAUUGCGAAGGCAGCUCACUAAAUUGUAACUGACGCUGAGGCACGAAAGCGUGGGGAUCAAACAGGAUUAGAUACCCUGGUAGUCCACGCCUUAAACGAUGAUUACUCGACAUUAGCGAUAUACUGUUAGUGUCUAAGCAAAAGCGUUAAGUAAUCCACCUGGGGAGUACGAUCGCAAGAUUG
rnacentral:rRNA from 1 species